GGAAUAUUGCGCAAUGGGCGAAAGCCUGACGCAGCGACGCCGCGUGGGGGAGGAAGGCCCUAGGGUCGUAAACCCCUGUCAGGUGGGACGAACCGUGUGCCGGCGAAUAGCUGUCAUGCCUGACGGUACCACCAGAGGAAGCUCCGGCUAACUCCGUGCCCGCAGCCGCGGUAAUACGGAGGGAGCGAGCGUUGUUCGGAAUUACUGGGCGUAAAGGGCGCGUAGGCGGCCUUGUAAGUCGAAUGUGAAAUGCCGGGGCUCAACUCCGUGCACUGCAUCCGAUACUGCAUGGCUAGAGAAAGGUAGAGGCGAGCGGAAUUCCCGGUGUAGCGGUGGAAUGCGUAGAUAUCGGGAAGAACACCCGUGGCGAAGGCGGCUCGCUGGGCCUUUUCUGACGCUGAAGCGCGAAAGCGUGGGGAGCAAAC
rnacentral:rRNA from 1 species